GACGCCUGCCAGUCGUUAAUAGGUACUUUUUCUACGCUCCGUCGCUGUGUGAUAUUUGGGCGAAUGUUACAUGGACAUUGUUUUAGAGAAGACGCCGGGACCAAGAAUCCCAACAGCAAUGCUGUGAAUCCCCAACAACAACAACAACAACAAAAUGUUUUUCGAUUAGGAUAUCAAUUUUAAUAGCUAGAAUCUUCUGUUAUAGAUGGCAGAGACUCGCAAACAUCCUAUAUGUGCGUUUUGGAAUCGACGUGUUCUCAUACCAAAACUUAAAAGAAAAUUUUCUGACUUGUUUUUGCGAUUUCUUAAACUAUUAUUCUUCUGAAAAUCCUUGCUCGUGGGUAAUUGGUUGUCUGUGCUAUCUUUGCCGUGAAACUAGUUUGUAACGUCUUUUCUUGUCUUUCAGGGAACUUCUGUUCCCCUCAAUCAUUUUGUAUAUUCUUAUAUAAUCUGAUUGUAAAUUCUCAAUAAAAAUAAUAAUAUCCGAAGAUUUGACCAAAUGACUUCCCAUGGCAAUCAAUCUUUUCAUAAAAACCAUAUCUCGUUGCACUUAAAAUGGACAAUACUCACAACCAUGUUUAAAAGGCGUUUCUUUGUACAUCUUGACUGGUCAGGUUAUUCACUCUGGCAGUUUUCUAGUUGAGUAAUGAAGCGUUGUUCUCAAACUAGCUUACAAACAAAUGUUAAUUUUAAGCGAAGAACGUAAUCGGUUGGUGCAAUUGAUUUAGAAAAGCACAUCUCUGGGAGAAUAUGCAAAAGGGCUGCCUCAAGUUGCGACAUAAGACUCUUUCAAUGAUCUCAACUGCGAGGAUUCAGCCUUCCGAAAUGUUGUGGCCGUGGAGUAUAAAGACACUCAUCAUAGAGUAAAUUGGAUGAAUCACUUCGAGGAAGCAGGUGUAUCUUUGACCGUUCUCAUCGUUUUGUUUAACGAUGCUAGAUCAAAGAGCCUCUGCAAAAUUGAGAUGAGCGCUUGCAGCCAUGAAAACGUACAGAGUGCCAGCUGAUCAGCUUGAUCUGCGAUGAUGCCUGCGGAAAUUGUGCUGACCUAAACGAAGAGAAGUACAGGACGAGAUCAGAACCGAGCAAAACGCCGAGGAGUUCUAAAGGGUUUAUUUGGCUGGGCCGAUUGUCUUGAACUUUUCUGAAGGAAGAUUUACUGGUCGUAUAAACAUUUAUACGAGAAACCGUAUGCUCUGGACUGUGGCAGCUGAAAAUCUGGAAAUGGAAAACAAUUGAUUUGAUUUGAUCAUUUGUUACUGAACUACACGACGUAUAGAAAAUUCGACCCAUCAAAUUGAAAACCAUUUUAGCCAUUUUUAGUGCAGUUUAUCCUCGUUGAGCUUCAAAGUGCAUUGAGCUUUUUAAUACUGAUGUGAUAUUAUUGCUGUGCUCAUCUAAAAAUCUGCUGUAAGAAGAAAUUUCGUUGAAGAAUAUUGAAAGAUUAUUUAUGAUUUAAUAAACUGCAAUGAAUUUUUUGCCGAUUGAUGUUAAACUAUGGGCCUCAUUGUGAUUAUGGAUACCUCGGACAGAUGAUGUGAUUAUGGAUUUUGCUCUAUGUAGAAUCGUCGAAUAAAAAUAGUUAAUUUACGAAAGUGGAUUAGCGUCCUUGAAUGUACGCGCGAAUCCAUAGCCAGUUGGA